rnacentral:tRNA from 1 species
AGCCCGGUGGAGAGAGAUCGCCGAGUGUAGCGGCCAAGCAUGCAGGCCUUUGGAGCCUGCGACCCCAGUUCGAAUCUGGGCCGGGCUA